rnacentral:ncRNA from 1 species
GUGCAAAGGUAGCAUAAUCACUUGUCUCUUAAUUGGGGACUAGUAUGAAUGGCACCACGAGGGUUCAACUGUCUCUUACUCCCAAUCAGUGAAAUUGACCUUCCCGUGCAGAGGCGGGGAUAAUUAUACAAGACGAGAAGACCCUGUGGAGCUUAAGUCGUAUAACUCAACAAAUACUAAUAUUUAACCUAUUGGAAUAACAUGUAUAAUCUAUGAGUUAUAGUCUUUGGUUGGGGUGACCUCGGAGCAUAAAAGAACCUCCGAAUGAAUAAAACCAAGAUUAACAAAUCUAAGUGUAAUAUUACCAGUAAUUGACCCAUAUUUUGAUCAACGGAACAAGUUACCCCAGGGAUAACAGCGCAAUCCUAUUUGAGAGCCCAUAUCGAAAACAGGGUUUACGACCUCGAUGUUGGAUCAGGACAUCCAAAUGGUGCAACCGCUAUUAAAGGUUCGUUUGUUCAACGAUUAAAGUCCUACGUGAUCUGAGUUCAGACCGGAGAAAUCCAAGGUCGGUUUCUAUCUGUAAAUUCAUUUCUCCCAGUACGAAAGGACAAGAGAAAUAGGGCCAAUAUCCAUAAUAAGCCCUAGAAUUAAUAUAUGAAUUUAUCUAAAUAUACUAAAUCAACCCAUAUACCCCCAAGAACAGGGCUAUUAAGAUGGCAGAGCCGG